UACGUAGGGGGCAAGCGUUGUCCGGAAUUAUUGGGCGUAAAGAGCGCGUAGGCGGUCCGAUAAGUCGGCUGUGAAAGUCAGGGGCUCAACCCUUAAAAGCCGGCCGAUACUGUCGGACUAGAGUCCGGAAGAGGCAAGUGGAAUUCCCGGUGUAGCGGUGAAAUGCGCAGAUAUCGGGAGGAACACCAAUGGCGAAGGCAGCUUGCUGGGACGGUACUGACGCUGAGGCGCGAAAGCGUGGGGAGCAAACAGG
rnacentral:rRNA from 1 species